GGCUCCGUAGCUCAGCUGGUAGAGCAACAGACUCUUAAUCUGUGGGUCCAGGGUUCGAACCCCUGCGGAGUCA
rnacentral:tRNA from 1 species